CCCAGAGGCAGGAAGGCGGAGCUUAAGUAACAGCUCUAGAGAGAGAGGCUAAGAAUAUUAUUGCUCCUCUGUCAUAGAAGACAGAUAACUCAGCUUGCCUAAACUGGUAUUGAAGGCAAGAAGGGAUCUUGGAGAGCCAUUGAUUUUCCCUCUACAACAAAAAGCCAAACCACCUGGGCCUCUGUUGUCAUGGAAGGAUGCAGGCAGUAGCAACAGCAGCAGGAUGAAUGCACUCACUAACAAGCAUUGAAAGCAGGGAGAAGCUUCUAAAGAAAAUACAGCCUCCGAACACAGUUUAGCGUGAUAGAGCAAUUACGAAGAGUGGUUUAUUUAAGGCAUCUAAGAUGGAGAAGAAUCAAUUAUUAUUAAGGAGGACUACUUCCCAGAGAUUGUGAUGGACCUUUUCAGAAGAGGGCAGGCAUGAAAAGUCUCAGUGCAGAUUUGCUUACGUUCUGCUGGCAAAAUUCAUAAUCAAACGAAAUAGGAAAAUAAUCUCACUAUGGUGCAUGCCAUUUUUCUAUCCAAUGAAACCUCAUAAAUUGCUGUUAGGAAUAAACUACAGUGAAUGAGAAAGAAAGAAGUGAAAAAUUAAAGCAUUACAAAUGUAAGAAAAAGUAAUCCUUGCAAAUAAGAAAUUCCAGCCUUCUUGGAUCCAUUGGCCUUGGAGAACAUCAUGGAACUGUCAGAACCUACACCAAUGAAGUCUUACCAUCAUUGCUUCCUGAACAUGACCUGAAAAAAGAAGAUACCAGUAUACAUGGAUACAUCAAAUGGGUACGCUCAUGAGAC